rnacentral:rRNA from 1 species
UACGUAGGGGGGCAAGCGUUGUCCGGAUUUAUUGGGCGUAAAGAGCGUGUAGGCGGUUUGGUAGGUCCGUUGUGAAAACUCGAGGCUCAACCUCGAGACGCCGGCGGAAACCAUCAGGCUAGAGUCCGGAAGAGGAGAGUGGAAUUCCUGGUGUAGCGGUGAAAUGCGCAGAUAUCAGGAAGAACACCCGUGGCUAAGGCGGCUCUCUAGUACGGUACUGACGCUGAGGAGCGAAAGCGUGGGGAGCGAACAGG